rnacentral:piRNA from 1 species
UUUGUAACCCACCGCAAUACAUAAAA